rnacentral:rRNA from 1 species
UACGUAGGGUCCGAGCGUUGUCCGGAAUUAUUGGGCGUAAAGAGCUCGUAGGCGGCCUGUCGCGUCUGCUGUGAAAGUCCGGGGCUUAACUUCGGGUGUGCAGUGGAUACGGGCAGGCUUGAGGUAGGUAGGGUAGACUGGAAUUCCUGGUGUAGCGGUGAAAUGCGCAGAUAUCAGGAGGAACACCGGUGGCGAAGGCGGGUCUCUGGGCCUUACCUGAUGCUGAGGAGCGAAAGCGUGGGGAGCGAACAGGAUUAGAUACCCGGGUAGUCCCU